UGCCGAAUUCUACUCAGCGGAAUAUGGAGGUACUUAUGGCAGAAUGGGCCAAUCUGGUCUUUCACAAUAAAGCGAUAGACGGAACUGCCAUGAAACGACUUAUUAGUAGAUUAAUAGAUCACUUCGGAAUGGUCUUUCACAAUAAAGCGAUAGACGAAAUUGCCAUGAAAUGACUUAUUAGUAGAUUAAUAGAUGGCAGGAAAAUAUGUUCCUGAGUUGGCUGAAGUCAUUGUUGACAAGAACAAAGACUCUUCGCUUUUCAUUACUUAGGACUGGCAUAUACAUCACAUAUCCUGGAUCAAGUAAAAACUCCAGGAUUCCAACAAGCUACUGCUACAUCCAUUUCAUUAUGAAUUGAUGAUCUUUAACAAUUUCUUUUAAGGGAUGGCUAGUUCAAGAUGCUGAACAACAAAGUUUGAUU
rnacentral:lncRNA from 1 species